AAGGUGACGAUCUUUUUUUUCUUUGGGGCGGAACCAAAAUUAUGGAAGUUUGGUUCCGCCCGGAAGUGUUUCCGCCCGGACCGGAAAAGACGAACACCGGAUUUCCGGUAAGCGCCGCGAGCGGGAAAAUCGGCGAAUUCGAUGCACCUGUGCCUAGUUGGGGACAGCGGUUAGUGAUUGGAAGAUACGCUGAACAAGGCAGUACUUAAGGCCAAGUUUAUCCACAGUCUAGAGACCUUUUGGGCUGGAACUGUUGAUUGGGAAGUCAUCGCGAACCUUAAAGGUUGUGAGGAGAACGAACACAUGACGGAUUGAGACGAAGUGAAAAAGGGGAUUUAAAACGGCAUCGCUGUGAGUACCUAGAUCUAGCUGAAAGUAUCUUGUGUAUUAACCUGGCUUAUGUUAACUCCCUCCAGGAGAAGGAGGACGGCCCUACCCCUAACAGAGUGUGGUGGGUGAGCCGAGGAAAUACUUACCGAAGCAGACACAACAACGACAUCACUAGCUGGGCCGCAUAUUUCCAUCGCCAACUCUGAACUAAGCGAGGUGAAGGAAGAUGGCGUCUUUUUCGUACACUUGGAGUGGUGGGUGAGUCUUUGUGCUGUGGAAACCUUUAUUUUGGACGUGGUGCUGUAUAUUGCUGUGGGUUGUGGUGUAUUGCUGUGUGUCUUGUCAGAUUUACCCCCGCCUUCACGCACUUCAUUGAGAGAAGACAAAGAGGCUGCUGGCUUUAGCUCAGAACAGUACAGCAUACGUUGUGAGCGUGCUUCGGGCCUCCAGAAAUAGUACGGUGCCCAGAAGCGAUUUUCCCCCGUCUAGUCAUCGAGCGGAUGUGAAGAGUGGCGGUGAAGAGCCGAGGAAACAGCAGAGGUGUGAGUACGAUUUGGGGCUAUUAUUAUUGACGUUUUCGAUUGCAUAAACAUUGUUGUUGCAGAGAGAGAGGUGACGUAAUUCCAUCGUCCCGUGGCCUCUACAAAGGGGCGCCCCUGUCCAGAGUUCGAACGCCUGACGGUAACGAGGAAAGGGCAGCGCUCGGCCCGGUGAGACGUUGGGAUAUUCCACCCCUCUGCCACCAUCUAGCGGUCGUGAGGGUUCGCCCCCGACGCCACCUAGGAACUACCUACCCCAUCGCACGUCGCGCCGACUGCUGUAAGUCCGCCACUGCUGCCUGUGUGCCUAUUAAUCUCUCAAGCUGUCGAUCCAUAGAGACGGAGCAUGCACUGUAUCCGGUAGACUUGUGGGGAAGAACCUGAGGAGAAACCGAGCAAAAACCUGUACUUACGGUACGCUGAGUCCAGUCGAGAGGUGAGAGCCAUCUUAAAGCAAACUAACUGUGCUUCUGUGUCCAAGCCGAUACCUGUGGAGAGAAGAGGAGAGAGAGUGAAUAUUCUGAGGAGAAAUCGAGUAAAAACCUGUACUUACGGUACGCUGAGUCCAGUCGAGAGGUGAGAGCCAUCUUAAAGCAAACUAACUGUGCUUCUGUGUCCAAGCCGAUACCUGUGGAGAGAAGAGGAGAGAGAGUGAAUAUUCUGAGGAGAAACCGAGUAAAAACCUGUACUUACGGUACGCUGAGUCCAGUCGAGAGGUGAGAGCCAUCUUAAAGCAAAUUAACUGUGCUUCUGUGUCCAAGCCGAUACCUGUGGAGAGAAGAGGAGAGAGAGUGAAUAUUCUGAGGAGGAGCCGAGCAAAACCUGUACUUACGGUACGCUAGUCCAGUCGAAAGGUGAGAGCCAUCUUAAAGCAAACUAACUGUGCUUCUGUGUCCAAGUCGAUACCUGUGGAGAGAAGGAAAGGAGUAGUGAGUAACCUGACGAAAAUUGUGUAACUACAAGGGAGAGCCUCCCCGAGGAAGAUUCAGGUACGCGACCAAUAUAAAAAUCCCCCACACUCAUACUGGUUCUGAUUCUGCCUCCAGGAGGAAGAAGGAGCGCGCCACGGAUUAUUAAGGCCAGGCCGGAGCCUGAGUCCCACGUCCCGGACCCCCGUUGGCCCCUUGCUUCCCGUCAUCCCCCGGCUGAGGCCCACCUGGAGGGCAGAGCUAGAUUUAGUUUUAAUCCCCCUUUCCCCAUUCCCCAAGACAUUUUAAAUAUUUAAAUUCAAUAAAGAUUGUUUUAUACUUA